CUCCUCCUCCUCCACCCACCCCAAAGCCAUUACCAGGUCCAACGCCACCAGCUGCACCAUCGGCUAGUGCUAAGACAUCUCAAAUAGGCACCUGGUUCCAUAUUGGCAUGAUCCUCUGGAUGCUUGCAUUUUUCUAGGCUGUGUACAUCUGCUUUUAAGUAGUACAGAAAAUAACUUCUUUUUUUUUUUUUUCUCAAUAGUUUUCUUUUGUUGGUUUAUAUGGAUUGUGGUUUUAAAACUUAAGGAUUUAUUGUGACAUUUUAUCUUAUUAA